CCAAUGAGAGGUCGCGUAAACCACGCCUCUCUCUCGUUGCCCUCCCGCUGCUUUUCUAACAAGCGCAGUGUUUGGACGCUGCGCUGGAACACUUUCGCUCCCUCUAGCUUGACUCGAACUUUUGUUUGCAGUUUAGACCAACUGGGGUGAUUGUGACAGAGCCUUCAUCAGCGAAAGAUUAUGGAACACUCUUUAACCAAAGGCAGUUCGGCGCUGAGGUUAGUUGACGUCUCUUCCUCCCAUACACCUCAACACCUUAACGGUGUUCAUGGAUUAACUUUACCACCUACAACUCACAAGCAUUUUACAAGCGGGCAGAGGAAAAUGUUAAACCCAUUCAUGGACACAUCACACGGGCCACAUAUCCCGCCGGGAGCGCUCAAGUUAAGUCCACCACAUCCUAUGAGUGACACUGCUAGUUCGGUACAUAAUCAAGCGAGUCAUCAGUUUGGAACCCAACCGAACGGAUACGGUGUUCCACAUUCACAUUCACAUCAUGUCGGAACGUACGCGGCUCGGGACUUCCUACUUCGCCGUGACCACAUGGGGUUGGCGACCCAUGACGGCAACGCCACAUCACACCACGGUAUGUUCGUACCGUCGUCGGCCGGUCUACACGGACCUCACCAUCCGGAUCCAUCUUCUAGUCAUGUUUUAUUCCCGGGUCUACACGAACCGUCACAUCACCACCCGGGUGCCGGACACCAUGUCAACAGUCAAAUGCGACUCAGUAUUUCCGGACCGGAUAUGUACUCACGAGCGGACCAAUUUAACCAAAUGACCAGUCCCCGAACUGACCACUUUGCCGCAGCUGCUGCCUCACAACAUCUAAACAUGGGACCCAUGAAUGCUAUGAACCACAUGAACAUGGGACCACAUGCGCCGGGUGCCUUCUUUCGUUAUAUGCGGCACCCCAUUAAACAGGAACAUACUUGCAUGUGGGUGGAGACUGACCAACCGGAACCGAAGAAACCUUGUAACAAAACAUUUCCAUCAAUGCACGAAAUCGUGGCACACAUCACAGUGGAACAUGUAGGGGGACCGGAGCAAACGAACCACUCUUGUUACUGGCAGAACUGUACCCGGGACGGGCGACCAUUCAAAGCUAAGUACAAGCUGGUCAACCACAUACGGGUACAUACCGGAGAGAAACCAUUUCCUUGUCCAUUUCCAGGUUGUGGGAAAGUUUUUGCACGGAGUGAGAAUUUAAAGAUUCACAAAAGGACACACACAGGAGAGAAACCUUUCAAGUGUGAAUUCGAUGGUUGUGAUCGCAGAUUUGCCAAUAGUUCCGAUCGGAAGAAACAUUCACAUGUUCAUACAAGUGACAAACCUUACAACUGUAAAGUUCGCGGUUGUGACAAAAGUUAUACACAUCCCAGUUCUUUGCGGAAACACAUGAAAGUUCACGGCAAAUGUUCCCCGCCACAUGGCGGUUCAUACGAGGAGUCAAUAAGUAACAGUCCGAGCAGUGAUUCAAACUCAGCAUCACCGGCUGUUCAGAACCAUACCCCGACACAACAACAACCACAACCACCACCACAACAACAACAUCACCAACACCAACACCAACAACAACCACAACAACAACAACAUCAUCAUCAACAGCAACAAGCAGUAGUAAUACCACAGAGCAGUCCUCCCUCCUUACCACUGGCUCCCAAUCCAACGCUACCCCCUAAUCAUCAUACAAACUUGAGCGAGUGGUAUGUAUGUCAGACAAGUGCUGGGAUGCCAACACCACCUAGCAAUGAACAUUCCCCGAUGAGGAUGCCAAGCUGUAUGAGAUCUCAUCACCAACAAUGUCAACAUUAUUGCCAUGAACCUAUUAAUAAUAAUAUUGCUGGCUGGUAUUCUUCUGCUCUCCGGGAGUACAUGGAAGGAUUUGAACCUGGUGCACAUCAGUUAUUCAGCAUCGAAUUAUGAACAGUGUUUUCCAACUCUGCCUCAUUACAGCUAGGAAGACUGAGGCGUCCUGGGUUAUUAUAACGAAUCACCGAUGAAUCUGACUCGAUUUUUUGCACCCCCGGAAUAUUUGCUUCGUCCGUUUGCAAAUAUUAUUAUUAUUAUACAUCUCGCAAUAAAAAACCGAGUGUUGAUUAAAACAUUGCACUAUUAACUCACAGAUUAAUUGAGUUCAAAUUCGCGGCUGGCAGUUUAUGACAGUUUUGGAGCAAACCAUUCUAUUCUAAAAAUAGCUAAUAAUGUAGGUCAGCCUCGGUCUACAGCCAACCCCUCAGUUUACCACACUGUCAAGAAUAUGUACAAGGUCCUUGUGGCUCACUCUCAAAUUGCUGUCUACCAACCAGUUCACUAUGAAGUCAAAUGAAUGUGAUUCAACCGAAGAUCAUAGAACACCAAUCAGUUCACCCAGCUGUCAUGAAUAGCUAUCAUAGGUUCAGUCCCAGAUCACACAAUCCACCAAUCAGUCCACCUAACUGUCAGGAACGUGUACCAUAUCAAUCUAGCUCAGUCUCAGACCAGUGUCCACCAAUAAGUCUACCUCACUGUCAGGACUACAACCCCAAAAAUUGGUCAACAUUCACGCCUCAAGUCCCACACCUCAUUAAUCAUUUCAUCCAUGUAUUGGGAAUUAGUAGCAGCUUCAAACCACAGUUCAUCACAGUUUGAUUUAACAUUGGCUCAAGAUUCUGGUUCUGAUGAUAGAACAUCACGUGAUGGUUGGUGAAUGUGUAAUAAACUUAACCAUCCAUGUUAAACUCAUCGUAUACUAAUUUAUUCACUAGCAGGUGAACAGAUUCCUCAGCAACGAGAGAUUUUUUUCACCAAAUUAGCAACUGAUAUCAUAUAUCUGAUACACAAACCUGAUUUACUUAUGUGGUUUCCAAAUUCUUCAAGUUUAUCAUUACAGAACACACAAUUACACAACCACUGCCAAAAAUAAAUAAACAAAUACAUAAACAAAUAAAUAAAUAAAUAAAUAAAUAAUAAAUAAACAAAUAAAUAAACAAAUAUGUUUUGUGUUGGAAAGUUAAUGCAGAUUUUCAGACUCUAGAAAAUCGAAAGAUACACUUCAACUAUGUUGGCUCUUACACUACAUAUACAAACUUUAUACUACACGGUCGGUACUCGUUGAUUUCAUGGAUGAAAAAGACACUGGCCACGCCCACUGACGCUGAACUGGAUCGAUUACAAAAUCAACAAGCCGCUUUUACAGAAUUACAUUUACGAGGUGAUUUGACCGCCAUCUACCGGGACAAUUUGGCUGUUGUCGGAAUGGGAUAAAUGGAAUUGAC